rnacentral:rRNA from 1 species
AUACGGAGGGGGCGAGCGUUAUUCGGAAUCAUUGGGCGUAAAGGGCGCGUAGGCGGCCUGACAAGUCAGGGGUGAAAUCCCUAGGCUCAACCGAGGAACUGCCUCUGAAACUGUCAGGCUUGAGGCCGGGAGAGGGUAGUGGAAUUCCCAGUGUAGCGGUGAAAUGCGUAGAUAUUGGGAGGAACACCAGUGGCGAAGGCGGCUACCUGGACCGGUUCUGACGCUGAGGCGCGAAAGUGUGGGGAGCAAACAGGAUUAGAUACCCUUGUAGUCC